rnacentral:lncRNA from 1 species
UGUAUAGUUAUAUAUAAAAUUUGAGAAAAUGUAUAAAAAUUUAUAAAAGCACCCAUUAAUUUUAUGUAAAAAAAAAUUCAGCACCCACAAACUUGAAUUCCUAGAUCCGCCACUGAUCAUGAAGGAAUACUCUAGGUGUUGACACGAAGUGCCAAACUCCAUACACAAAUUGUAACAUCUCCUUGAAACUAGGCAUACCUCCUAAUACAUAGCCAAUUAAAGCAUUUCUCCAGU